rnacentral:rRNA from 1 species
GACGAACGCUGGCGGCGUGCUUAACACAUGCAAGUCGAACGAAGAGCGAUGGAAGCUUGCUUCUAUCAAUCUUAGUGGCGAACGGGUGAGUAACGCGUAAUCAACCUGCCCUUCAGAGGGGGACAACAGUUGGAAACGACUGCUAAUACCGCAUACGAUCUAACCUCGGCAUCGAGGAUAGAUGAAAGGUGGCCUCUACAUGUAAGCUAUCACUGAAGGAGGGGAUUGCGUCUGAUUAGCUAGUUGGAGGGGUAACGGCCCACCAAGGCGAUGAUCAGUAGCCGGUCUGAGAGGAUGAACGGCCACAUUGGGACUGAGACACGGCCCAGACUCCUACGGGAGGCAGCAGUGGGGAAUCUUCCGCAAUAGACGAAAGUCUGACGGAGCAACGCCGCGUGAGUGAUGACGGCCGUCGGGUUGUAAAGCUCUGUUAAUCGGGACGAAAGGCCUUCUUGCGAAUAGUGAGAAGGAUUGACGGUACCGGAAUAGAAAGCCACGGCUAACUACGUG